AGGUGUUGUUGGGUAGGGGAGCGUUCUGUAAGCCUGUGAAGGUGUGUCGUGAGGCAUGCUGGAGGUAUCAGAAGUGCGAAUGCUGACAUAAGUAACGAUAAAGCGGGUGAAAAGCCCGCUCGCCGGAAGACCAAGGGUUCCUGUCCAACGUUAAUCGGGGCAGGGUGAGUCGACCCCUAAGGCGAGGCCGAAAGGCGUAGUCGAUGGGAAACGGGUUAAUAUUCCCGUACUUGGUGUUACUGCGAAGGGGGGACGGAGAAGGCUAUGUUGGCCGGGCGACGGUUGUCCCGGUUUAAGCGUGUAGGUGUGUGUUCCAGGUAAAUCCGGUUCACUUUAACACUGAGGCGUGACGACGAGGCACUACGGUGCUGAAGCAACAAAUGCCCUGCUUCCAGGAAAAGCCUCUAAGCAUCAGGUAACAUCAAAUCGUACCCCAAACCGACACAGGUGGUCAGGUAGAGAAUACCAAGGCGCUUGAGAGAACUCGGGUGAAGGAACUAGGCAAAAUGGUGCCGUAACUUCGGGAGAAGGCACGCUGACACGUAGGUGAAGUGAUUUACUCAUGGAGCUGAAGUCAGUCGAAGAUACCAGCUGGCUGCAACUGUUUAUUAAAAACACAGCACUGUGCAAACACGAAAGUGGACGUAUACGGUGUGACGCCUGCCCGGUGCCGGAAGGUUAAUUGAUGGGGUCAGCGCAAGCGAAGCUCCUGAUCGAAGCCCCGGUAAACGGCGGCCGUAACUAUAACGGUCCUAAGGUAGCGAAAUUCCUUGUCGGGUAAGUUCCGACCUGCACGAAUGGCGUAAUGAUGGCCAGGCUGUCUCCACCCGAGACUCAGUGAAAUUGAACUCGCUGUGAAGAUGCAGUGUACCCGCGGCAAGACGGAAAGACCCCGUGAACCUUUACUAUAGCUUGACACUGAACAUUGAGCCUUGAUGUGUAG
rnacentral:rRNA from 3 species